GGAACUGAAACAUCUAAGUACCUGAAGGAAGAGAAAGAAAUUCGAUUCCGUAAGUAGCGGCGAGCGAACGCGGAUUAGCCCAAACCAAUAAAGUUUUCUUUAUUGGGGUUGCGGACAUAUCAUAACGAAGAGGUAUCGUAAUUGAAGAGGUUUGGAAAGACCCACCACAGAAGGUAAUAGUCCUGUAUGUUAAACGAGAAGACUUUAGAUAUGAUCCAGAGUACCACGGGACACGUGAAACCCUGUGGGAAGCAGGAGGGACCACCCUCCAAGGCUAAAUACUACCUAGUGACCGAUAGCGUAUAGUACCGUGAGGGAAAGGUGAAAAGAACCCCGGGAGGGGAGUGAAAUAGAACCUGAAACCCUGCACUUACAAGCUGUGGAAGCACAUUUCUUGUGUGACCGCGUACUUUUUGUAGAACGGGCCAACGAGUUACGUUAAGUAGCAAGGUUAAGCACUUAAGGUGCGGAGCCGUAGCGAAAGCGAGUUUUAACUGAGCGUUCAGUUACUUGACGUAGACCCGAAACCGGGCGACCUACCCAUGAGCAGGAUGAAGCGAAAGUAAAAUUUCGUGGAGGUCCGAACCCACGAGCGUUGAAAAGCUCGGGGAUGACUUGUGGGUAGCGGUGAAAUUCCAAUCGAGCCCGGAGAUAGCUGGUUCUCCCCGAAAUAGCUUUAGGGCUAGCCUCAAGGUGAGAGAUACGGAGGUAGAGCACUGAAUGUCCUAGGGGGUAUUGCACCUACCGAAGACUAUCAAACUCCGAAUGCCGUCAUCUUAUACUUGGGAGUCAGACUGUGGGUGAUAAGAUUCAUAGUCGAAAGGGCAACAGCCCAGAUCGUCAGCUAAGGUCCCUAAAUGUAAGUUAAGUGGUAAAGGAUGUGGGAUUGCACAGACAACCAGGAUGUUGGCUUAGAAGCAGCCACUCAUUCAAAGAGUGCGUAAUAGCUCACUGGUCGAGUGAUCCUGCGCCGAAGAUUUCCGGGGCUAAA
rnacentral:rRNA from 1 species